CCUACGGGAGGCAGCAGUGAGGAAUAUUGGUCAAUGGGCGAGAGCCUGAACCAGCCAGGUCGCGUGAAGGAUGACGGCCCUACGGGUUGUAAACUUCUUUUGUCAGGGAGCAAUUGAGUCCACGUUUGGUCUUAGCGAGAGUACGUGAAGAAAAAGCAUCGGCUAACCCCGUACGAGCAGCCGCGGUUACACGGAGGAUGCGAGCGUUCUCCGGAUUUUUUGGGUAAAAAGGGUGCGUAGGCGGAAUAUCAAGUCAGCGGUAAAAAUUCGGGGCUCAACCCCGUCGUGCCGUUGAAACUGAUGUUCUGGAGUGGGCGAGAGGUAUGCGGAAUGCGUGGUGUAGCGGUGAAAUGCAUAGAUAACACGCAGAACCCCGAUUGCGAAGGCAGCAUACCGGCGCACAACUGACGCUGAAGCACGAAAGCGUGGGUAUCGAACAGGAUUAGAUACCCUUGUAGUC
rnacentral:rRNA from 1 species